AUUGAACGCUGGCGGAAUGCUUUACACAUGCAAGUCGAGCGGCAGCACGGGGGCAACCCUGGUGGCGAGCGGCGAACGGGUGAGUAACACAUCGGAACGUACCCUGUCAUGGGGGAUAACGAGUCGAAAGAUUCGCUAAUACCGCAUACGACCCGGGGGUGAAAGCGGGGGAUCGCAAGACCUCGCGCGACUGGAGCGGCCGAUGGCGGAUUAGCUAGUUGGUGGGGUAAAGGCCCACCAAGGCGACGAUCCGUAGCGGGUCUGAGAGGACGGCCCGCCACACUGGGACUGAGACACGGCCCAGACUCCUACGGGAGGCAGCAGUGGGGAAUUUUGGACAAUGGGGGCAACCCUGAUCCAGCCAUUCCGCGUGAGUGAAGAAGGCCUUCGGGUUGG
rnacentral:rRNA from 1 species